UUUUGUGUUAGCCUCUUAGACCUGAUUCUCUGUGAUGAACCAGGCUCAUUGCAGUUAAACUGCUCUGAGUCGUCUUCCUCCCCAAUUCCAGCAUUUAGAUCACCAUCCAGAUAUAUCUUAUCGACGUCUCCCCUGAAGUCUGCAUAGCUUACCGGAUUGAAGGAUAAUUCUGCCGGAGUCGUAUCAUCACCGCCCCCUUUAAAUCCGACAUUGCCCUCAAUGUUGAUUGAAGGAAAAAACUCAGCCAUGUCGUCUUCAAACUCCCAUGAGGUAUCCUCUGGAAUAGCUCCAUUCCACAGUAUGAGUACUUGCUUUCUUUCUCUUCCCCCUUGUAAUAUUUUUCUUUUGUCUAGAAUCUCAAUAGGAUAAAUGAUAGUCUUGUUAUUCACUGCAACGAUAGGUUUAUCGUCUACUGAAUUUUUUGGAAUGGGUCCGCAGAAUUUUCUCAACUUGGAGACAUGGAAUGUAGGAUGAAUCUUACUCCCUUCAGGUAAUUCUAGCUUGUAAGCAACCUGAUUUACCUUCUUGCAUAUUUUGUAUGGGCCGAAAUAUUUCUUGCAAAAUUUGUUAUGCAAUCUAUGAGCCACUGAAAUCUGCCUAUAGGGUUUUAAUUGGACAAAAACCCAGUCUCCCUCCUCAAAUGAGAUCUCUGUUCUCUUUUUAUCAGCUAAUUUCUUCAUUCUUGAUUGGGCCUUCACUGGAUUUUUCUUUAUUUCCUCUAGUGUUUCUUCCCUGAGUUGGAGUUUCACAUCAACUGCAGGAACUUGUGACUCUCCUGGUUUGUAAUGUGGAAUUUCAACAACAUCUCUUCCAUAUAAUACCUUGUAAGGGCUUGAUCCGAGAGAUGAGUGGAAGCUUGAGUUAUACCAUAGUUCUGCCCAGGGCAGCAACUUCAGCCAAUUUCUUGGUUGCUCAUGAUAGUAGGCCCUCAGAUACAUUUCUACUGUCUUAUUUACUACUUCAGUUUAUCCAUCAGAUUGGGGAUGAUAUGCUGAAGAAAAAUUCAGUUUGGUUCCACUCAAAGUAUGAAUAUCUUUCCAAAACUUAGAUAGAAAAUUUUUGUCUCUAUCUGAUACAAUAGAUCUGGGAAUGCUAUGUAAUUUUAUCACAUCCUUAGUAAAUAUUUCAGCAACUUUAACAGCAGUAAAAUUAGAUGGGAGGGGGCUGAAAUGGGCAUACUUGGACAAUCUGUCCAGUGUCCACCGCCACCGCAUUAACACAGUAUAACCCUUGAUUUUAGGAAUAUCUGUUAUGAAGUCCAUACUAAUAUCCUCCCACACUUGAGAUGGGAUGGGUAAGGGCAUUAGCAAUCCAGCCAUUUUAGAAUUGGAUGGCUUAAUCUGUUGGCAGAUAAUACACUCUUUGACCAUGUUAGGCCAAAAGAAUUUUUUUGCAAUUCUUUUCCACGUCCUAUGAAUUCCAGAAUGGCCUCCAAACUGAGAAUCAUGAAAUUCAUAUAGGAGUUUCUUUAUCAGAAGAGAGUCUUCGUUUAUAUAAUAUCUGUUAUUGUAGAGCAAGGUCCCAUUCCUGACCAUAAAUCCCCCAUUGGCUCCCUUCCCUUCAGUAAUUUGAAUGAUCAAUGCCUUAGAAAUGGCCAAAUGGGGCUGAUAUUAUUUUCUAUUUUAAGCUCAUCCAAUAGAGAAUAGAUUGGUUGUGAUAAAGAUAAUAGAGAACCUGGAGUGCCUGUUGAAUUAGAAGAAAAAAUCAGAUCACCUUCUUUCAUCUCUUCAAAACUCUUAGAGAGUGCAUCUGCUACCACAUUUUCUUUACCCAGUUUGUAAAUAAUAGAAAAAUCAAACCCCAAUAGCUUGCAUAAAAAUACUUCAAGGAACAAGUUCACCUGAACAAUUAACGGUGCUUCAGAUCCGUGAAGAUUAUCCACGGGUGUCCGAAGCAAAAUGCAGCGGAGAUAAAACUCCUGAAAUUGAGGCUUAGCCUCCCUAAAGAUAGCGGUUAAGCUGAGUUAGGUUGGGGCUCAAUGCGGCUGGAUGAAUCCAGAAAUUUCAGAUCGAACAAUGGGAUAGAAUCCAGAGAAUUUAGGAUCGAGUAAUGAGAUCGGAUAUAGAUGAAGUGUCUGAUCGGAGAUCGCCGGAAAUGAGAUGAGUAUGAGAUGUACUCGACUGUCGUCGGGAUGUAGGGGUGAUUGAAUGAAAUGUAAUUUCUUUGAUAAAAUUUUCAUGCCCUAAACAUCCACAAUGAAACAGUAUUUAUAUUUAUUACAACAAUUGAAAUUAACCUAAAACUGCAUGGACUGCAGAAAAAUUUAAGGUGUUGUUUUUUAUACAUCCAUACUUCAAUUAUUUAAUAUUAUUAUAAGUUGUAUAACAUUGUAUAUUAAUUCGCAGAGAAAAUCAGAAAUAAACAAAAUAAACCGGACUAAGAAGAUACUCAAUCACAAAACCGGACGUGAAGGCAUUGAAGCAUCAUGAAUCAAUGUAUUGAUUCGUUCUUCUGGUAGUGACAAUGAAGUCAUUGUAAGUCUUAUUUUAUUUUAUAAUGUUUAUAAUUAGUAUUUUAUCGAUCUACUCAUAGCUUAUUACUUAUUUUGUAGAAAAACAUGUCUGAAUAUUACAAUAGUGAUGAAAUUCAACAAUUACGUACAACAACGGAUGAAAAUAUAUGUUUUAAAUAAUUUUACUAUUUCAAAUUAUUUAAAUGUUUUAUUUUCUUAUAUAUUAUUUUUAUUAAAAGCAAAAAAGGAAGGUACAUUGGACUUGGUGGAGGAUCAUAUGCUGAGUCGAGCAUUGCUUCUACCAGAUUUGCAGUUGAAAUGAAUGCAAGAUUUCUUGUGAAAGAAAAAGAAAAAGAAAAAAUUGAUGAUCAAAUGGAGAAGAUACUAGAGGUAUGUGUAUGAUAAUACAUGAAAUUUUAAACUAAUACAUAAAUAUUAAUGAAUCUUAAAUGUUUUAUAGGAUAAUCGAUAUUUAAAAAAAAAAAAUGAGGAAAUUUUUGAUAUGUAUCAAGACAUGAUGAAAACAUUUCUAUCACAAUCAAAUACAACUGCACAACCUUCAGAUCAUGGAUCGUUGCAAGAUAAAAGUGCAGGUCAGAGCGAUCAAAGAUAUCAAACUCCUCCAUCCAAAUAGUUCUUCCAUGUUAGUUUUGUUGAAUGUUAGUUUUCUUGAAUGUCAAAUUUGUUGAAUGUUAUAUUUGUUGAAUGUUUUUGUAUUGAAUAUUUGUUGAAUAUUGAAUAAAUUUACAUGAAUUAAUAUUGAAUGAAUUUACGGG
rnacentral:lncRNA from 1 species